UACGUAGGGUCCGAGCGUUGUCCGGAAUUAUUGGGCGUAAAGGGCUCGUAGGCGGUUUGUCGCGUCGGGAGUGAAAACAUCCAGCUUAACUGGGUGCUUGCUUUCGAUACGGGCAGACUAGAGGUAUGCAGGGGAGAAUGGAAUUCCUGGUGUAGCGGUGAAAUGCGCAGAUACCAGGAGGAACACCGGUGGUGAAGGCGGUUCUCUGGGAAUGACCUGACGCUGAGGAGCAAAAGGGUGGGGAGCAAACAGG
rnacentral:misc_RNA from 1 species